rnacentral:rRNA from 1 species
CAACCUGCCCUUGACAUUGGAAUAACAGUUGGAAACAGCUGCUAAUACCGGGUAUGACACAUCUUCGCAUGGGGGGUGGUGUGGGAAAAGCCUUGGCGGUCAAGGAUGGGCUCGCGGCCUAUCAGCUAGUUGGUGAGGUAAUGACUCACCAAGGCUUCGACGGGUAGCCGGCCUGAGAGGGCAACCGGCCACACUGGGACUGAGAUACGGCCCAG